GUGAACGCGCUGCGCAGACAGUGCACGACACGUAAGUGGCCAGAGUGUCUGGAGUCUGUCUGAAACUGAUAAAAAUGGUGAUGGAGUUUAUCCAGAGUCUCGCUCAUAGUCAUUAGAAAAACAAAGGGAGACAGAGCGGAAUUUUAUAAUCAUCCAACACUGUAGUCAUUUCGUAGCCUGAAAACUAGAUUCUAUUGUAGCGCAUUUCAAAGUUUUAUUCCAUGUUUUUCACCAGACAGACAGUUCAUUAAUUCACAGGCAGGAGGAUUCAGCUACACUUGGUGAAGGUGAUUCCGGUGUUCUGGAGUUGUGCUCCCAUGCAGACGGUAGGCUUAAAAGGGCAUUUCCCACCCAGUACUCUGUGAAGCACAUUUGGGCAUGUCAUGGAGAGAGAGGUGGAACGGCAGGAAUGCAGAGAUGUGUGCAAAGAUGCGACGUUUGAAAUGUUGCUGAGUAAUCGCACUUUCAGCUUGGCACACCAAUCAUUUCCAGUACUCGCUUCUCAUAUGAAUUUCUAACUGAUUUCUUCAUUGAACACAGUGAUUAGACAGGUUGAUUAAUGGACAGGUAAAAAAAAAAAAAAACUCUACAGACCGUCUGGCAUAGAAAACGUUUACAGUUUAAAUGUGAAGGUUACGGGGAGAUUCUUUACAAUAGUAAUUUUUUAUGACGCAGUAUGUAUGAUUACAAAGCUGCAGAAAUCCUUCUUUUUGUGAGAAAUAAUAUCUCUCAAAAUGAAGAUGGCAGCCAUUUUUAUUGCAGUGUCCAACAGCGCCCCCCGGGUCUCUCUGUAGCUCUUGUGGAGCGAGUUGAUGUAUUUUGUGUGUGAAAGAACAAGGAUCUCACUCUCCUGCAUUGCUUGCAUAUAUUCAAUAUCAAAGCCACAAUGGCAUUUUAAAGGGAUCACUGGCAGGCAGCCAAAACCUAGAGCCUCUCUCUUUUUGGUGGCUGUGCUGGCUUACUUGCUUUCUUCCUUUUACUCAUGUCCUCGUGCUGAUGGCAGUGUAACGUCUGACUCUUCUCAAAGCUUUACCCAAGUGCUGGAGCGAGACAUUGGAUGUAUUAGGACAGCUGCCUCCAUUUUAGGGAGGAGUUUUGCAGAGGAAGAUGGAUACCCUUUCCACAGUACCAGAAUUUGCAGCGUGAAUCAGUUCAGACUUGAGGCAUCGCCUGCAAUAUUUAGCUAUGUUUUGUCUUUCGAUGACAAAUGUUUUGUCUUUUCGAUUCGUUUGUUAAACGAAUGUGAUACAUUUACCCGGAAUUUGCUUCGUUUGCAUUUGUUUAUAUAAGAUUGUAAAUUUUACCACUCUCAACAUUUUUUAUGGCUCUAUUUUCGACCUUCCGCAUAACUAUUAUGACAUUCCUAAAGAUCUUUUAAUUUAUUUAUUUUGCACUCACACAAAACAUUUUUUGAUCUGAUUUUUAAAUGCAUUUCUGCAAGUGAUAUUGUUUGUUAGUUAGUUAGAUACAAAUAUCCAAAUAAAAUGGUGCCUUCAGGCUCUCAGGAUUUCAAUGGUAAAUGAUGAUGUGCUCUAAUCCGCUGUGAAAUGUUAUUUGUCUUAUUUCAUUGUAUAUUACGCAGGCAUGUUUAGAUUUAUUUUAACCCCUAGGUUGCACAUUAGACAGAUACUAUGACUCUAAAAAUGUGUUAAAUCACAUGUUACUUUAGCAGGUUUUAACAAUAUUUUAAUCAAAAGUAGUCCUUGGAUUGUGCCCUUUACGUUAUACAGCAUGUAUUUAAAAUUCUUCCUUCAUUCUCGUUGAAUAUUGUGUUUAAUGUACCCUAUCUGUAUCUCUAUGGUUAGUAUCUCUAAAGAUUAUUUUUAUUGUAUAUCAGUAUUUCUGUUGUAAAUAGCACAAAUGAAAAUAUGUUCACAUUUUGCUGUAAACGUUCAUUGAAGUAAAUAAAUCUAGAAAAAAGGAAUGUGUUUUGAAAAGUGUAGUGUCUGUUAAAAAUAUCAUUUUGCCGAUUCGUGUUUAUACAGUGUUAUUAUUAACGUUAAAUAAAUGUAAUACAUUUAUUUAAAAUGGCUUUGAUAAGUCGAUGUUGUCUUGUAUUCAUGAAGAUUGAAUUAUUUGUGUAAGUAGUGUUAUUCUUUUCGUUGUUAUUGCAAUAAAAGUGUCCUUUAAAUGAUAACUGUCUA